CAGCAGCCGCGGUAAUACGUAGGGUGCGAGCGUUAAUCGGAAUUACUGGGCGUAAAGCGUGCGCAGGCGGUUGUGUAAGACAGGUGUGAAAUCCCCGGGCUUAACCUGGGAACUGCGCUUGUGACUGCACAGCUAGAGUAUGGCAGAGGGGGGUGGAAUUCCACGUGUAGCAGUGAAAUGCGUAGAGAUGUGGAGGAACACCGAUGGCGAAGGCAGCCCCCUGGGCCAAUACUGACGCUCAUGCACGAAAGCGUGGGGAGCAAACAGGAUUAGAUACCCCGGUAGUCCUGUCUCUUAUACU
rnacentral:rRNA from 1 species